rnacentral:miRNA from 1 species
UAGUACGUCGUUCUCCGGACGG